GAUGAACGCUGGCGGCGUGCUUAACACAUGCAAGUCGAACGAUGAAGCUCAGCUUGCUGGGUGGAUUAGUGGCGAACGGGUGAGUAACACGUGAGUAACCUGCCCUUAACUCUGGGAUAAGCCUGGGAAACUAGGUCUAAUACCGGAUAGGAGCGCCUACCGCAUGGUGGGUGUUGGAAAGAUUUAUCGGUUUUGGAUGGACUCGCGGCCUAUCAGCUUGUUGGUGAGGUAAUGGCUCACCAAGGCGACGACGGGUAGCCGGCCUGAGAGGGUGACCGGCCACACUGGGACUGAGACACGGCCCAGACUCCUACGGGAGGCAGCGGUGGGGAAUAUUGCACAAUGGGCGAAAGCCUGAUGCAGCGACGCCGCGUGAGGGAUGACGGCCUUCGGGUUGUAAACCUCUUUCAGUAGGGAAGAAGCGAAAGUGACGGUACCUGCAGAAGAAGCACCGGCUAACUACGUG
rnacentral:rRNA from 1 species